AUUGAACGCUGGCGGCAUGCUUUACACAUGCAAGUCGAACGGUAACAGGCCGCAAGGUGCUGACGAGUGGCGAACGGGUGAGUAAUGCAUCGGAACGUGCCCAGUCGUGGGGGAUAACGCAGCGAAAGCUGCGCUAAUACCGCAUACGAUCUAUGGAUGAAAACGGGGGACCGUAAGGCCUCGCGCGAUUGGAGCGGCCGAUGUCAGAUUAGGUAGUUGGUGGGGUAAAGGCUCACCAAGCCAACGAUCUGUAGCUGGUCUGAGAGGACGACCAGCCACACUGGGACUGAGGCGCGGCCCAGACUCCUACGGGAGGCAGCAGUGGGGAAUUUUGGACAAUGGGCGCAAGCCUGAUCCAGCAAUGCCGCGUGCAGGAAGAAGGCCUUCGGGUUGUAAACUGCUUUUGUACGGAACGAAACGGUCCUGGUUAAUACCCGGGGCUAAUGACGGUACCGUAAGAAUAAGCACCGGCUAACUACGUGCCAGCCGCCGCGGUAAGAC
rnacentral:rRNA from 1 species